UGUAAAGUCAUUGCGCCUAAAUACAAGAAAACGGAAAGUGGGUGGGAACUAGGAGCCAACAACAAAGCCCAAAGCAAGCCAUGCCGGUGGCAAUAACAGCAAUACCCAGUUGUUCCCAUCACCACUGCCGCAAACUCCUCCUCUUUACCUCUAACCGUCGUACGAUUGCCUUCAACUCCGCCGCCGCCACCACCACCGCCAUGAUGGCCACCACCGCCACUAGCAGCAAUACUGGCGGCGGCGCCUUCACGACGAUCAAGGAGAGAGUGACUUUCGAAAAGGAAAUCAAGAAGAGCAAAUUCAUCGCCAUCGCUGGCCCCAUCUCCGAUGAACAAUCCGCCUUCUCCUUCCUCUCUCAGGUGCGAGAUCCGCGAGCUACUCACAAUUGUUGGGCUUACAUGGUCGGAGAUCAAUAUCGGUCGAAUGACGACGGCGAACCGUCGGGGACAGCUGGGAAGCCAAUACAUUCUGCGAUUGUUUCCUCGGGAAUCGACAGAGUUAUGGUGGUUGUCAUCAGGUAUUUUGGAGGUAUCAAAUUAGGUACUGGUGGGCUAGUGAGAGCUUAUGGAGGAGUUGCCUCUGAAUGCUUGAGAAAUUCCCCAACUUGUCUUAUCAAAUCAAAGGUUCCAAUGGGUGUGGAGGUUCCAUUUGAUCUUUUAGGAGCUUUAUAUCAUCAGCUACAAUCUUUUCAAGUUGAAGAUAUCAAGCAAGAUUAUGAGACUGGAAAAGACGGUACAACAACGGUUCAUUUUAAAGCUGAUUUUGACUGUGUUGAGAAACUGGAGGAUGCUAUCAAAGCCAAAUGUAGUAGAGAUUUAGUGUUCUUCAAGCGCUGAACAGAGCUUUGGCUAUUUAUUAUACAUGGUUGCAGAGAUUGCUUGUAUUUUCAAAGGGAGUACUGUUAAGCGAAGCCACAAAUGCAUGAUUUCAUGCAUUGCCCAGAAUCAGACCCAUCUGAAAAAGGAAAAAUUUUGCAUCUCACAGAGGAUAGAAGGGGCGACUAUAGCCAUGGUGGGCGGCUGCAACAGCAGCUUGAGGAGGCCGCAUUGCCUUUUGGGUGCCGAGUAAAACCCGAGAUGGCGGAUUUGGCAUCAGGAGCGAGGCAACUUUUGACACUAGCCCUAUUAAGAGAGUGGUACACAGCAUGACUGUCUUUGAACUGGAUUGGUUUGCCAAAGCCAUCUUAGGCGGUGAUUUUGCCGGUUACAGAUGUGAAGACAAUGCCCGUGCUUAGGAUGGAGGUGAUGGAGAUGCAAGGUUUGUAGCAACUCUCAAAAGUGACGUUGAGAUUGUUAAUAUAACUCAAGGAGAUAAAUUGACUAAUAGCAGCUGUUUAUAUAACAACUGUGACAAAUUGUUGCUUAGAUUGAGUCUGAAGGUUUAACGAUGCGAAACGACAUGUCGCACAAUUUGAGAAUGGGUUGCGAGUUAAGAAGCCACUUUUUUUUUUUUUUUAAUAGAUUUCUGGUCAAUCGCACAAUUUGACUUUAGAAGAGUAAUUAAUCUCGAGAG